GAUGAACGCUGGCGGCGUGCCUAAUACAUGCAAGUCGAGCGAACGGACGAGAAGCUUGCUUUUCUGAUGUUAGCGGCGGACGGGUGAGUAACACGUGGAUAACCUACCUAUAAGACCGGGAUAACUUCGGGAAACCGGAGCCAAUACCGGAUAAUAUUUUGAACCGCAUGGUUCAAAAGUGAAAGACGGUCUUGCUGUCACUUAUAGAUGGAUCCGCGCUGCAUUAGCUAGUUGGUAAGGUAACGGCUUACCAAGGCAACGAUGCAUAGCCGACCUGAGAGGGUGAUCGGCCACACUGGAACUGAGACACGGUCCAGACUCCUACGGGAGGCAGCAGUAGGGAAUCUUCCGCAAUGGGCGAAAGCCUGACGGAGCAACGCCGCGUGAGUGAUGAAGGUCUUCGGAUCGUAAAACUCUGUUAUUAGGGAAGAACAUAUGUGUAAGUAACUGUGCACAUCUUGACGGUACCUAAUCAGAAAGCCACGGCUAACUACGUG
rnacentral:rRNA from 1 species